CGAACGAGACAACUCUGUAUUGAGACUCAGACCGAAGCACGUGGUAUUUGGCGGAGUAACUGUGAGGUGUGGACAGUCUGCCUCGUGCUUCUCGCGUGCGGGAGCCAAGCACUUCUGUCGUACAAGUCACGGCAGCUGGUGACUCUUUCCGUUUGUGUUAAUUACUCAUGGUCAUGCUUCCCGUCACUCAAGGACAGCAUUCUCAAACGUUUCGAUGUCUUAAAUCGGCUUUAUUUUAACAGGUUGUAAUGGAAAUGGCCGGUAUUUUCAAUUGUGUUUUGACGAUUCUAGUGAUAGUGGUAGCCUAACAAGGAUUACGCACCAUUAAUGAAAGAAAAAAAAAAGAUAAGAACCCGACGAAUAAUCUGUUUAGUAGUGAUGUGGUGAUCACCUGACCAGGGUUAUAAAAAAAAUACACCCACUAAUACCCGACUAAUCACUUGUGUCGUCUUUGAAAAUAAUCCUUAUGAGAGAAUACAAUGCUACAAAAUCUGGACCUUGGUGACUGUACUCGUGUAUUGAGCCGCGCAGGAUAGAAAUAUGUAUCUGGGCAUUUUACCCUCCGAUGCACGUUUGUAUUACCCCAGUCAGCCCCGAGGAAGCUAAAAACCUCAGACUUAUACUACAACUGUGCAUUAGGCGUCACCGUGUUCACUACAAGGCAGGCUUAUCUUCCAUGGUCUCUCCAGUGCGCCGUGCUCGAGACUCCAACCACACUGGCAUCUUGUGUUGAAACGGCUGUGCUUUUACGUGAUCCGCCAAGAGGUGUUUACAUUGGCGAGUAGUGAAGUGCAGUACAGGAGGGAGGAGAGACGAUGUGCCUCGGAUUAGUGCAGGAGGGAGGAGAGGAGGCGCCGGUGACCCACAUCCUCUUCAGCUGAUGUUCACGCCAGAUGGUCGAUAAGGAGGCUCCGUUUUCCCCUGAGUGAGUGUUGUUACCCGUUUUCUGUUCCUUAAGAUCGGUUAAUGUAUCUUCAUUCUCUGCGUUUCGUCCUGCGAGACUUCUGUUUGUCUUGUCACGAAUUUACGAUGACUGGCAACUUAUGAUGAGGGAAAGAUUUAUCGUUUUCACCAUGUUUGCUGGUUUAAACGGCAAAUACAUUUUUUUUUUCUGUACAGUUACAUAUUUGAGUGCAAUUGCAUUUUUUUUCUGUACAGCUGCAUAUUUGAGUGCAGUUGCAUAUUUUUUAAAGUUGAAUUACAUGUUUUUGAGUGUAAUUUCGUGUAUUAAAUUUGGAUUAUAUGUUUUUUUUUGAGUGAAACUAUAUAUUUUUAAGUGGGAUUACAUAUCUUUUGAAUUACAUGUUUUUGAGUGUAAUUUCGUGUAUUAAAUUUGGAUUAUGUUUUUUUUUGAGUGUAACUAUAUAUUUUAAGUGGGAUUACAUAUCUUUUGAGUUGAAUUAUAUAUUUUUUUUUUUCAUUUCAAUUACAUAGUUUCGAUUGCAAUUACAUAUUUGACUGCACUUCCAUGUUUCGAAUGCAAUUAGGUAUUUGAAAGUGGAAUUACAUUUUUUGAGAGUGCAGUUCCAUAUUUUAGUGGACUGCAUAUCAUCGAUUACAUGUUUUUUUUAUUGGGAUUAUAUGUUCUUAAGUGCGAUUGUGUGUUUCUUAGAUUACAUACGUGUUUGUUGAAAGCAUUUUUUAAUCAAUUACACGUGAGAUUAGAUGACUUUUAGGUUGGAUCACUUAUUUUAAGCGCGCUGCAAUGAGAGAGAGAGAGACUGCAAGAAGCAACCAAGCUUACACGUGGCAGUCCCUGUAUGAAAUAUACUUACCUAUUUCCAUCUAUCAUCCUCCUCCAUAAACCCGUCUAAUCUUCUGUUAAAGCUCCCUAAUGUCCCAGCACUAACAACAUGAUUACUGAGUCCGUACCACUUGUCUACCACUCAAUUUCAUAACCAAUUUCUUCCUAUCUCUUUCUUAAACCUAAAUUUUUCAAGCAUAAACCCGUUAUUUCUUUUUCUGUCUUGGUUACUGAUCCUAAAAAUUUUGCUUACGGCCCUCUUGUUAUAAUCCUUAUACCACUUAAAGACUUCUGUCAGGUCCCCUCUUAACCUACGUCUCUCUAAAGAAUGUAAAUUUAACAGCUUCAAUCCCGCCUCGUAAGGAAUACUCACCCCCUGUAUCCUUUUAGUCAUUCUGCUUUGUACUGAUUCUAAUUGACCAUUAUCUUUCCUGUAACGUGGGGACCAGAACUGCACUGCGUAGUGUAGAUGAGGUCUGACUAGCGCCAAAUAUAAUUUUAAUAUUACUUCUGGCCUUCUGCUUACACACAGACACACACACACACACACACACACACAGACACACACACACACACACACACACAC